GUAAAGCCAGCAGCCGCGGUAAUACGUAAACCGAGCGUUUCCGGAAUCAUUUGCCGGGCGUAAAGGGUACGUAGGGGGUUUUUAAUUAGAAGUCAAAGGCUAUAGCUCAACUAUAGUUUGCAAGCUUCUAAAACUGGACCUUGAGGAUGGAAGGGAAAGUGGAAUUCCUAGUGUAGCGGUGGAAUGCGCAGAAUUAGAGGAUACCGGUGGCGAAGGCGACUUUCUGGCCAUUUUCUGACGCUGAGGUAGAACGUGGUAGCAAACAGGAUUAGAUAC
rnacentral:rRNA from 1 species